ACGCUGGCGGCACGCCUAACACAUGCAAGUCGAACGAAGUAGCAAUACUUAGUGGCAGACGGGUGAGUAACAUGUAGGUAUCUGCCCUUUGGCCUGGAAUAACACGAGGAAACUUGUGCUAAUACCGGAUAAGUCUUUACGGAGAAAGCUUUAUGCACCAUUGGAUGAGCCUGCACUUGAUUAGUUUGUUGGUGGGGUAAUGGCCUACCAAGACUGUGAUCAAUAGCUGAUUUGAGAGGAUGAUCAGCCACAUUGGGACUGAGACACGGCCCAAACUCCUACGGGAGGCAGCAGUGGGGAAUCUUGCACAAUGGAGGAAACUCUGAUGCAGCGAUGCCGCGUGAGUGAAGAAGGCCCUUGGGUUGUAAAGCUCUUUCGUCGGGGAAGAAAAUGACUGUACCCGAAUAAGAAGGUCCGGCUAACUUCGUGCCAGCAGCCGCGGUAAUACGAAGGGACCUAGCGUAGUUCGGAAUUACUGGGCUUAAAGAGUUCGUAGGUGGUUGAAAAAGUUAGUGGUGAAAUCCCAGAGCUUAACUCUGGAACUGCCAUUAAAACUUUUCAGCUAGAGUAUGAUAGAGGAAAGCAGAAUUUCUAGUGUAGAGGUGAAAUUCGUAGAUAUUAGAAAGAAUACCAAUUGCGAAGGCAGCUUUCUGGAUCAUUACUGACACUGAGGAACGAAAGCAUGGGUAGCGAAGAGGAUUAGAUACCCUCGUAGUCCAUGCCGUAAACGAUGUGUGUUAGACGUUGGAAAUUUAUUUUCAGUGUCGCAGGGAAACCGAUAAACAUACCGCCUGGGGAGUACGACCGCAAGGUUAAAACUCAAAUGAAUUGACGGGGACCCGCACAAGUAGUGGAGCAUGUGGUUUAAUUCGAAGAUACGCGCAGAACCUUACCAACACUUGACAUGUUCGUCGCGACUCUAAGAGAUUAGAGUUUUCGGUUCGGCCGGACGAAACACAGGUGCUGCAUGGCUGUCGUCAGCUCGUGUCGUGAGAUGUUGGGUUAAGUCCCGCAACGAGCGCAACCCUCACUUUUAGUUGCCAUCAUUAAGUUGGGCACUCUGAAAGAACUGCCAGUGAUAAGCUGGAGGAAGGUGGGGAUGACGUCAAGUCCUCAUGGCCCUUACGUGUUGGGCUACACACGUGCUACAAUGGUAUCUACAACAGGAAGCAAGACUGCGAAGUUAAGCAAAUCCCGAAAAGAUACCUCAGUUCGGAUUGCACUCUGCAACUCGAGUGCAUGAAGCUGGAAUUACUAGUAAUCGUGGAUCAGCGUGCCACGGUGAAUGCGUUCCCGGGUCUUGUACACACCGCC
rnacentral:rRNA from 1 species